rnacentral:misc_RNA from 1 species
GAAAUGCGAUAAGUAAUGUGAAUUGCAGAAUUCAGUGAAUCAUCGAAUCUUUGAACGCACCUUGCGCUCCUUGGUAUUCCUUGGAGCAUGCCUGUUUGAGUAUCAUGAAAUCUUCAAAGUAAAUCUUUUGUUAACUCAAUUGGUUUCUACUUUGGUAUUGGAGGUCUUUGCAGCUUCACACCUGCUCCUCUUUGUUCAUUAGCUGGAUCUCAGUGUUAUGCUUGGUUCCACUCGGCGUGAUAAGUUAUCUAUCGCUGAGGACACUGUAAAAGGUGGCCAAGGUAAAUGCAGAUGAACCGCUGCUAAUAGUCCAUUGACUUGGAAAAUACUUUUAUGAUCUGAUCUCAAAUCAGGUAGGACUACCCGCUGAACUUAAGC